rnacentral:rRNA from 1 species
GACGAACGCUGGCGGCGUGCCUAAUACAUGCAAGUCGAGCGAAUCUUUUAAAAGCUUGCUUUUGAAGAUUAGCGGCGGACGGGUGAGUAACACGUGGGCAACCUGCCUGUAAGACUGGGAUAACUUCGGGAAACCGGAGCUAAUACCGGAUGAUCUUUUCUCUCGCAUGAGGGAAUUCUGAAAGACGGCGCAAGCUGUCACUUACAGAUGGGCCCGCGGCGCAUUAGCUAGUUGGUGAGGUAACGGCUCACCAAGGCGACGAUGCGUAGCCGACCUGAGAGGGUGAUCGGCCACACUGGGACUGAGACACGGCCCAGACUCCUACGGGAGGCAG